GAGCUGAAAGAAACGCGAAAGCAGCGCCCGGCCGGGUCUCACCCCGCCGUCCCUGAGCUGCCCGGGGCACUGUCCGGCACCCACCAGCUGCAGGAGGGGCAGGAGCGCGGCUGCCCGGGCUGCAGUGGGGAGGGUGAAGGUGUGCCCUGCCCCGGAGCGCAUGGACGCCCGCCACGCAGCCCCAGUCCUGGUCCCCAGUCCUGGUCCCCAGUCCCGGUCCCCACAAGCUCUCCACCUGUCCAUCACCCUCCCCCAGCUGGAGCUGGGUACACUCUAAUUGCUCUCUCACAUAAGGACAACCCCACCCCCUCGCUUCCCCAGCCUGUCUCUCCUAAAGAGGAUGUAGCUCUCCAUGAUUGUGUUCCAGUCAUGUGAGCUGUCCCACCACGUCUCAGUGAUCGCAGCGAGAUCGUGGCCCCGCGUCCGAACGCAGACCUUGAGCUCAUCCUGUUUAUUUCCCACGCUCCGUGCACAAGCGCUUUAGGGAAGCAGCAGGUCUGCCAGUAGCUGACAGAGUAGAAAGGUGUGCCUCUCUCUCUUUUUUGUUUAGAGUUAGAGGCAAGCCUGAUAUCCAGCCAAGACGGACAAAAGAGAAGGACAAAGACAAAGCCUGGGAGGAAGGCUAUGAGCCUUCAGCACGAGAGACCCCCAGAGGGACCACCGGGGACUGAUAUGCAUGUGCCAGUGGGAGGGUUCGGAAUCCGGGAACCAAUUAUAAUAACACUGCCUUUUCUAGAAGUAGUAAUGAACAUGUAUUAGCCUAGGAGCAGAAAAAGCUGCCGCCUGAUGUAACGUGUGUGCGUGUUGGAGGAGCCCAGACUCCCCGCGCACCCAGCGCUCUUUACUUGCCUUUUAUUAACCCCAUAAAUAAAUCUCAUAAAGCUAA